UACGUAGGGUGCAAGCGUUGUCCGGAAUUAUUGGGCGUAAAGAGCUCGUAGGCGGUGUGUCGCGUCGGCCGUGAAAACCUGCAGCUUAACUGUGGGCUUGCGGUCGAUACGGGCAUCACUUGAGUUCGGCAGGGGAGACUGGAAUUCCUGGUGUAGCGGUGAAAUGCGCAGAUAUCAGGAGGAACACCGGUGGCGAAGGCGGGUCUCUGGGCCGAUACUGACGCUGAGGAGCGAAAGCGUGGGGAGCGAACAGG
rnacentral:rRNA from 1 species